CCUACGGGAGGCAGCAGUGAGGAAUAUUGGUCAAUGGUCGCGAGGCUGAACCAGCCAAGUCGCGUGAAGGAUGACGGCCCUGAGCGUUGUAAACUGCUUUUAUCCGGGGACAAAAUGCGUCACGCGUGCGGUUCUGUAGGUACCGCGUGAAUAAGCACCGGCUAACUCCGUGCCAGCAGCCGCGGUAAUACGGAGGAUGCGGGCGUUAUCCGGAUUUAUUGGGUUUAAAGGGUGCGUAGGCGGAUCUUUAAGCGGGCGGUGAAAUCGCGGGGCUCAACCAGGCCAAGGCGUCGGAACUGGGUGCCUUGAGUGCGCGGGAGGCAUGCGGAAUGCGUGGUGUAGCGGUGAAAUGCAUAGAUAUCGCGAAGAACUCCGAUUGCGAAGGCAGCGUACGGCGGCGCUACUGACGCUGAGGCACGAAGGCGCGGGGAUCGAACAGGAUUAGAUACCCGGGUAGUC
rnacentral:rRNA from 1 species